rnacentral:lncRNA from 1 species
CCAGCACGCGGGAUCGUGAAUGCCGAGAUGCACUUUGCACACAGGAUCACGCACGAUGAGAUGCACAGAGCGUGCGGGAUCAUGAAUGCCAAGAUGCACACAGUACACAGGAUCACGCACGAUGAGAUGCACAGAGCAUGUGGGAUGAUGAAUGCCAAGAUGCACUUUGUACACAGGAUCACGCACGAUGAGAUGCACAGAGCACGUGGGAUCAUGAAUGCCGAGAUGCACACCCAAACACGUGCUGCACACAGGAUGGUGCACGCUGCACGCGGGGCCACAGAUGAGCCACACGCUGGGAUGGCGCAGGUUCAUGCACGCCAAGCUCUGUGCUGGGUGUGGGAUCGCCCUCCCAGGCACCCCGGGGUGAUCCCAUCACACGUGAAAUCAUGGCCCAGCACACACACGCUGUGCAUGGGGUUGCACACACCGGCACACCUGGUGCAUGAGGAAUUGUGUGAACCACACGUGUGUGAGCCACACACCUGUGGGGUUGCACACACCUGUGGGGUUGCACACACCUGUGGGGUUGCACACACCUGCACACUCCACAGGGGAUGGGGCACACCGAGGUGCACCCUGCAUGUGGCAUUGGACACAGCAAAGUGCAGCUGCACAUGGCCUUGUCACACAAGGAAUUGCUGGCAGGUGGGAUUGCACACCCCAGCCUGCACCCUGAGCACGGAUUGCUCCUGCCAGCACACACGUGGCAUGAGGAGGCACAGGCUGCAGUGGAUUGUCCACUGAUCGAGGCACUCCCAGUGCCAAAUGUGCUCCCCAGCAAAGGCCUUCUCUCGUGCUGCAGAGCCACAGCCACCCCUGUCACUUCAGGGAGCCUCAGGGUGGCUCUGCACAGUGCCUGCCCCAGCCUCCAGCCCGGUUUUGGUGUACACAGCCAGCUCCAGGGGCUGCUCUGCUCCCUGGGACCCCAACCUCACAUCAGUGGGGUGUUCUUCCCCCUCCAUUUCCAGCUGGGAAUGGCUGUACUUAACUCUGUCUGGCAGGAGGGGC